rnacentral:rRNA from 1 species
GCUUGCUGGGGGAUUAGUGGCGAACGGGUGAGUAACACGUGAGUAACCUGCCCUUAACUCUGGGAUAAGCCUGGGAAACUGGGUCUAAUACCGGAUAUGACUCCUCAUCGCAUGGUGGGGGGUGGAAAGCUUUAUUGUGGUUUUGGAUGGACUCGCGGCCUAUCAGCUUGUUGGUGAGGUAAUGGCUCACCAAGGCGACGACGGGUAGCCGGCCUGAGAGGGUGACCGGCCACACUGGGACUGAGACACGGCCCAGACUCCUACGGGAGGCAGCAGUGGGGAAUAUUGCACAAUGGGCGAAAGCCUGAUGCAGCGACGCCGCGUGAGGGAUGACGGCCUUCGGGUUGUAAACCUCUUUCAGUAGGGAAGAAGCGAAAGUGACGGUACCUGCAGAAGAAGCGCCGGCUAACUACGUGCCAGCAGCCGCGGUAAUACGUAGGGCGCAAGCGUUAUCCGGAAUUAUUGGGCGUAAAGAGCUCGUAGGCGGUUUGUCGCGUCUGCCGUGAAAGUCCGGGGCUCAACUCCGGAUCUGCGGUGGGUACGGGCAGACUAGAGUGAUGUAGGGGAGACUGGAAUUCCUGGUGUAGCGGUGAAAUGCGCAGAUAUCAGGAGGAACACCGAUGGCGAAGGCAGGUCUCUGGGCAUUAACUGACGCUGAGGAGCGAAAGCAUGGGGAGCGAACAGGAUUAGAUACCCUGGUAGUCCAUGCCGUAAACGUUGGGCACUAGGUGUGGGGGACAUUCCACGUUUUCCGCGCCGUAGCUAACGCAUUAAGUGCCCCGCCUGGGGAGUACGGCCGC